CCUACGGGAGGCAGCAGUGGGGAAUAUUGGACAAUGGGCGAAAGCCUGAUCCAGCAAUGCCGCGUGAGUGAUGAAGGCCUUAGGGUUGUAAAGCUCUUUUACCAGGGAUGAUAAUGACAGUACCUGGAGAAUAAGCUCCGGCUAACUCCGUGCCAGCAGCCGCGGUAAUACGGAGGGAGCUAGCGUUGUUCGGAAUUACUGGGCGUAAAGCGUACGUAGGCGGUUAUUCAAGUCAGAGGUGAAAGCCUGGAGCUCAACUCCAGAACUGCCUUUGAAACUAGAUAGCUAGAAUCUUGGAGAGGUGAGUGGAAUUCCGAGUGUAGAGGUGAAAUUCGUAGAUAUUCGGAAGAACACCAGUGGCGAAGGCGACUCACUGGACAAGUAUUGACGCUGAGGUACGAAAGCGUGGGGAGCAAACAGGAUUAGAUACCCUGGUAGUCCACGCCGUAAACGAUGAUAACUAGCUGUUCGGGCUCUACGAGCUUGAGUGGCGCNGCUACGCAUUAAGUUAUCCGCCGUGGGGAGGUACGGUCGCGAGAAUUAAAACGUUAAAAGGUAAAGUUAGUACGGCGUGAGACGUGCCGAACGGACGACGACGAGGGGAGGUAGG
rnacentral:rRNA from 1 species